rnacentral:rRNA from 1 species
UGAACUUAAGCAUAUCAAUAAGCGGAGGAAAAGAAACCAACAGGGAUUGCCUUAGUAGCGGCGAGUGAAGCGGCAAGAGCUCAAAUUUGAAAUCUGGUACUUUCAGUAUCCGAGUUGUAAUUUGAAGAAAGUUAUCUUGGAGUUGGCCCUUGUCUAUGUUCCUUGGAACAGGACGUCACAGAGGGUGAGAAUCCCGUGCGAUGGGGUGCCCAUUCUAUGUAAGAUACUUUCGACGAGUCGAGUUGUUUGGGAAUGCAGCUCUAAGUGGGUGGUAAAUUCCAUCUAAAGCUAAAUAUUGGCGAGAGACCGAUAGCGAACAAGUACAGUGAUGGAAAGAUGAAAAGAACUUUGAAAAGAGAGUGAAAAAGUACGUGAAAUUGUUGAAAGGGAAGGGUAUUUGAUCAGACUGAUAUUCAGUUAACACUGUUCCUUGUGGACGGUGCUCUAGCUUUUUAUUGGGCCAGCAUCAGUUUAGGUGGCAGGAUAAGAACUGUUGAACGUGGCUCUUCGGAGUGUUAUAGCUUCAGUUGAUACUGCCUAUCUAGACUGAGGUCUGCGGCUUUGCCUAG